UAGGGAAUCUUCGGCAAUGGACGAAAGUCUGACCGAGCAACGCCGCGUGAGUGAAGAAGGUUUUCGGAUCGUAAAACUCUGUUGUUAGAGAAGAACAAGGACGUUAGUAACUGAACGUCCCCUGACGGUAUCUAACCAGAAAGCCACGGCUACCUACGUGCCAGCAGCCGCGGUAAUACGUAGGUGGCAAGCGUUGUCCGGAUUUAUUGGGCGUAAAGCGAGCGCAGGAGGUUUCUUAAGUCUUGUGUGAAAGCCCCCGGCUCAACCGGGGAGGGUCAUUGGAAACUGGGAGAAUUGAGUGAAGAAGAGGAGAGUGGAAUUCCAGGUGUAGCGGUGAAAUGCGUAGAAAUAUGGAGGAACAACAGUGGAGAAGGGGGAUCACUGGUCUGGAACUGACGCUGAGGCUCGAAAACGUGGGGAGCAAACAGG
rnacentral:rRNA from 1 species